GUGUCAGCCGCCGCGGUAAUACCAGCUCUCCGAGUGGUGGGGACGUUUAUUGGGCCUAAAGCAUCCGUAGCCAGCUGAGCAAGUCCCCAGUUAAAUCCAGCGAUUUAAUCGUUGGACUGCUGGGGAUACUGUCCGGCUAGGGGGUGGGAGAGGCCGACGGUAUUCCCGGGGUAGGGGUGAAAUCCUAUAAUCCCGGGAGGACCACCAGUGGCGAAGGCUGUUGGCUAAAACAUGCCCGACGGUGAGGGAUGAAAGCUGGGGGAGCGAACCGGAUUAGAUACCCGGGUAGUCCCAGCUGUAAACGAUGCAGGCUAGGUGUUAGGGCGGCCACGUGCCGCUCUAGUGCCGCAGGGAAGCUGUUAAGCCUGCCGCCUGGGGAGUACGGCCGCAAGGCUGAAACUUAAAUGAAUUGACGGGG
rnacentral:rRNA from 1 species